rnacentral:lncRNA from 1 species
GUUAGUGGGUACGGAGUUUCUUUUGGGGGUAAUGAAAAUGUUCGGGAAUUAGUGGUGAUGGUUGCACAACUCUGUGACUGUACUAAACAGUAUUGAAUUACACACCUUAAUAUAUUUUAUAAUAUAUGAAGUACAUCUUGAUAAAGCUGUUCCAAACACUUUAUAUAAUAUAUGCUAAAUAUAUAUUAUAUAACAAUAUAAUCAAUAUAAUAUAUAUCUCAUAUUGCCUCUGACUUCCAUACUCUUCUCACCAUUUUAUAAGCAUCUAUUUCCCUGUAUUAAAUCACCUUCUACUUGAAAUACCUAGAGUGGUUUCUCAUUAUUUUAUUAAUUUAACACAUGUGGCAAA